CAUGAAUUUGACGUUAUUUCCGCAUUUUCUAGCUAAUCAAGAUUGAAGAAAAUUAACAGUAAAAAGUAUGUUUAAAUUACUUAACACGUAAAAGGUACACUCCGGUAACUACGAUACAACUGUAUGAUUUCGACGUGGCUAUUAGCAUACAUAACUAUUGUAGGUGGAAUUCUAAUUUGGCAUGACGCACUAAAUAUUGCAACACUGGAAGAAUUCACGAAUAACUUCAAAGUCUUGGUGGAUGAGAUGUCAACAUCUUUCCGGCCUUACGGAUAUCCAAUAGAGCUUCUUAUUAGAAACAAAUGGUUUUUGAAUAAAAUUAAAGUGAUUAACUAAUUGUG